AUUGAACGCUGGCGGCAGGCCUAACACAUGCAAGUCGAACGGAGCGGCGGACGGGUGAGUAAUGUAUCGGAAUCUGCCUGGUAGCGGGGGAUAACUUCGCGAAACCGGCGCUAAUACCGCAUACUAUCAGAUCAGCCUAUGGCGGAUUAGCUAGUUGGUGGGGUAACGGCCAACCAAGGCGACGAUCCGUAACUGGUUUGAGAGGACGAACCGGCACACUGGAACUGAGACACGGCCCAGACUCCUACGUGAGGCAGCAGUGGGGAAUCUUGGGCAAGGGACGAAACCCUGACGCAGCCAUCCCGCGUGAGUGAAGAAGGUCUUCGGGUCGUAAAGCACUUUUGGCAGGGAAGCGGUACCUGAAGAAGAAGCACCGGCUAACUACGUGCCAGCAGCCGCGGUAAUUC
rnacentral:rRNA from 1 species